GCUGUCGUCAGCUCGUGUUGUGAAAUGUUGGGUUAAGUCCCGCAACGAGCGCAACCCUUAUCCUUUGUUGCCAGCGGUCCGGCCGGGAACUCAAAGGAGACUGCCAGUGAUAAACUGGAGGAAGGUGGGGAUGACGUCAAGUCAUCAUGGCCCUUACGACCAGGGCUACACACGUGCUACAAUGGCGCAUACAAAGAGAAGCGACCUCGCGAGAGCAAGCGGACCUCAUAAAGUGCGUCGUAGUCCGGAUUGGAGUCUGCAACUCGACUCCAUGAAGUCGGAAUCGCUAGUAAUCGUGGAUCAGAAUGCCACGGUGAAUACGUUCCCGGGCCUUGUACACACCGCCCGUCACACCAUGGGAGUGGGUUGCAAAAGAAGUAGGUAGCUUAACCUUCGGGAGGGCGCUUACCACUUUGUGAUUCAUGACUGGGGUGAAGUCGUA
rnacentral:rRNA from 1 species